AUCUUGCUGUGUCCUCACAUGGCCCUUCCUCUGUGCACAUGGAGAGAGGGAGCUCCUGUCCCUCGUCUACUUCUCAUGAGGACACAAUCCUGCUGGAGUAGGCCCUGCCCUUACGUCCUCAUUAAUCUUUUUUUUUUUUUUUUAUUGAUUUCUUUUUUUUUUGAAGAAGAUUAGCCCUGAGCUAACUGCUGCCAAUCCUCCUCUUUUUGCUGAGGAAGCCUGGCCCUGAGCUAACAUCCGUGCCCAUCUUCCUCUACUUUCUAUGUGGGACGCCUGCCACAGCAUGGCUUGCCAAGCGGUACCAUGUCCACACCCGGGAUCCGGGCUGGCGAACCCCCGGCCACCGAGAAGCAGAACAUGCGCACUUAACCGCUGUGCCACCGGGCCUGUCCCUUACGUCCUCAUUAAUCUUAAUUACUUGUAUCUCCCAGGACAGUCGUGUCGGAGGUCAGAGCUUCAAUACGUAGCUUUUGAGGGGGAUGCAAUUCAGUCCACAGCACUGUGUAUUCCAGAUUGUUCUCCAGAGGCAGCUUUAGACAUUAUCCACAGACUUCCCACUACGGAAGAUGAGAAUGUAGCUGUCUCACGUAUUCUCACCUCCUGUCUCCUGAUGCCCCCAGCUACUUCCCUCCUCUCAUGCAUCCAGCACAGAUGUGUAAUAAUUGGAGGGUCCCUUGGGAAGCCCCUGUCCUUCUGCUCUGAUGUUUUUUGGUUGCUCUCUAAGCCUGCAGCCUUGCCAUCCUCCUGAGAUGUCUCAGCACCAGCCUGCAGGUUCCCUUCAUCUGUCUCCUGUAUCAGAUUCCAAGCUGCCUGGAUUCCACAACCUCUCUCUUUGUUUCCCUUCAUCAUUUUGAUGAGUACAUCCUCUGCUUGCUUUUGAAGAAAGGUUGCAGAGGAGGUGAAUUUUUGAGAACUUGCUUUUUUCUGUUUUCCCUAUUUGCCCAUUUAAUUGAUGGCUUGUGUGGGUACCGACUUCCAGGGUGCUGCAUUAGUCAGAACAGGCGAACUAUUGUACCAAAGAACCCUUGAAUUUC
rnacentral:lncRNA from 1 species